rnacentral:lncRNA from 1 species
GAAACUGACUGGAAGCAGGCUUUAAAAAAAUAAAUCAUGGAAGAGGUUAAGGACCAGAUGAAGGCGCUCACAAGUGACAUCAUCCAGGAGCUGAAACCAUUUCAAAGAGCUGACCCCACUGUGGCCGAAUGGAGGAAGCCAUCGUCCUACUCUAACAUAUGGGCUGAAGCAUUUCCAGCUCUGUGAUCAGGCCUUUGAACUGGAUCCUGUUCUCCGGGUCAUUCUCCCAACACCUCCUCAGGGAGUAUACCUGCGCACACGCACGCACGCACGCACGCACACACACACAGAAAAGAAAGGGAGAGAGAUAUGUAUGAGUAUGUUGCACGUCACUAAUUCACAGGAGAGGCAUUUGAAAAACAAUUAUCUCCAUCAAAAUGCGUUUGACAGAAAUGCCUUCGGGAACAUGUGAACUUUCAUGUGCUUUAAUAACAAACUUGUAUGCCAUCUGUAAAUAAGAAUAUAAUUGUUAAAUUACGAGCCUAGUUGGUUCAGCC